rnacentral:lncRNA from 1 species
CUUGAUUGAUAGAUUUUUCAUAUGAAUUGGAUAGUUGAUAGUGUCCAAGAGAGGUGUUGCUGGUCUCUGUGAAUGAUACUCUCCUCGCUCUGACAGUGAUGCAGAAACUCCACCUGACUUUUUCUUGCCCUUUGCCUAAACAGAACAAAACAGUUUCUUUCAGUGGUUUUAUUCUUUUAUUCUUUUUAUUUUUUCUCUUUUACACAAAAAGCGGAAAAUUGAAAUAACCGAAACUCCAUACAAAUACAAAGAAGAAAAAUAUAUAUUGAAUAAAAAGACGAAAAUAAAAGGACCAUGGCGGGCACUUCCUCAGCACUCUUAACUCAAUUCUGCGACAUGGGUAUUAUUGCAUACACGUUAAGAGCAUAUAAAAAUAAAAAUAAAAAUAAAAAACCUGAUUAAUCCUAUGUGGAGAUUGCCCCAACAGAUCUGUUCUCCAUAAGAAAUGAGGAUAAACAUAACUGUAUUUUUGAAGAUCUGAGCAUGCGGCCCUGUUUGCAUGAGCAGGAACUGAGAAUGCAGAGAGAGCCAUUACAGGAAAAGACCCGAAAGGACCAAGAACAGAAAAAGAGCUUAAAAUGGUUCAAAAUUGUGAAUAGAGAAGAAAAAGAAAAGAAGAAGGAAAGAAAGAAAGAAAUAAGCAGAACAACCCAGAUACGGAGUGGAAGUUACGCUUAUGGUUCUUAAUGCUCCACUAAUGAGGUACCAGUACAUCAAUAUAAAAUGAGCAUGUGGUGGAAAGUAAGAGAUAUAAAGGAGAAAGAGCGAAGAUGGAACCUUUAAUCUUGGGUUUCAUAUUUAUAGUGUUACAUAGCAUAGCAGGAAGCACUGAAGCAGGGGAAAGUGUUGCAGGACAGGAGCAUAGUGGCUAGGAAUUUUUAUCUAAUUAUAUUCUAUUACAUGCAAUAGCAUCCUACCAAACUACACCUAUGUGUUAUAAAUGAUGGUAGAUGUCAUAGAUUUACGAAACCUAAUAAAGUUUGGUGAUUCAUUUCUAGAUCAUUAAAAAGAACAACCUAACUUUGUCAAAAAACAAUCCAUGCAAAGAAUUUUAAGUAAUACAGUCUCUUAAAACAGACCAAGACUAGUGGAAAUAGGAAUGGCACUUUGUUUGUUCAAUGGAUUUAAGAAACAUCCCAUAACCACAACUUGCGGAUAAGAAUAACUAUGACCAGGAAAGAUUAUGAGAUCUGAUAAUAGUCAAAAAUGUAAAAAAUAUAUUUAGAAAUUCAUAAAGAUUGAAAAGAAGCAAAAAUAGUACCUAAGCCUGCAGAAAUAGUGGUAGAGCUAUGGCCAGUGCCAAAGCAAUCAUAUUCACUCUCAGAUCGCUUGGUGAAACCUGAAAGUCCAUUAGUUUGUCUCAUCGUGUGCAUCUUGUCUCUUCUUCCAGUCAGGAUUUUGUGUGGAUAGGACUGGAAAACCAAACUGAUAGUUUUACAAUCGAAUUCUGAACAACUUAGACGACAGCAUCAUGAAUGAAAACCAAAGAAGAAUCGUAUUAGAUUAGAAAACCUGAUGGCCAACAUCCCACAGUAUCUUAUCUUGAGGAGUAUUGAAAACAUAGUGAAGAGCCACAGUAAGUUCAACAACACCAAGGCUUGAUCCCAAGUGACCCCCAGUUCUAGAAACAUUGAAAAUAACAUCGGACCGCAGCUCAUCUGCUAGUUGCUUUAAUUCCUGUAUAUAUUCAGAAACUCAUUUAUAAAUUGCAUGUGAUGAUAUAAAGUUGUUUUCUUUUUUAUGAAUAAGCAUAGUUAUAUACCUUGAUUGAUAGAUUUUUCAUAUGAAUUGGAUAGUUGAUAGUGUCCAAGAGAGGUGUUGCUGGUCUCUGUGAAUGAUACUCUCCUCGCUCUGACAGUGAUGCAGAAACUCCACCUGACUUUUUCUUGCCCUUUGCCUAAACAGAACAAAACAGUUUCUUUCAGUGGUUUUAUUCUUUUAUUCUUUUUAUUUUUUCUCUUUUACACAAAAAGCGGAAAAUUGAAAUAACCGAAACUCCAUACAAAUACAAAGAAGAAAAAUAUAUAUUGAAUAAAAAGACGAAAAUAAAAGGACCAUGGCGGGCACUUCCUCAGCACUCUUAACUCAAUUCUGCGACAUGGGUAUUAUUGCAUACACGUUAAGAGCAUAUAAAAAUAAAAAUAAAAA